rnacentral:rRNA from 1 species
GACGAACGCUGGCGGCGUGCCUAACACAUGCAAGUUGAGCGACGAACCAGGGCUUGCCCUGGGGCAAAGCAGCGAACGGGUGAGUAACACGUGGGUAACCUACCCCGAUAACCGGGACAACCCGAGGAAACUCGGGCUAAUACCGGAUGUGCUCACUGAACUUCGGUUCAGUGCGUAAAGGAAGCUUCGGCCUCCGUAUCGGGAGGGGCCCGCGGCCCAUUAGCUAGUUGGUGAGGUAACGGCUCACCAAGGCCGCGAUGGGUAGCUGGUCUGAGGGGACGCUCAGCCACAGUGGGACUGAGACACGGCCCAGACUCCUACGGAAGGCAGCAGUGGGGAAUCUUGCGCAAUGCGCGAAAGCGUGACGCAGCAACGCCGCGUGGGGGAAGAAGGCCUUCGGGUUGUAAACCCCUUUCAGGAGGGACGAAGGUUCGGCGGUGAAUAGCCGUCCGGACUGACGGUACCUCCACAAGAAGCCCCGGCUAACUACGUGCCAGCCGCCGCAGUAA